rnacentral:rRNA from 1 species
CGGGGGGAGCAAGCGUUGUUCGGAUUUACUGGGCGUAAAGGGCGCGUAGGCGGCCUCUGCAAGUCGACUGUGAAAUCUCCGGGCUUAACCCGGAACGGUCAGCCGAUACUGCAGGGCUAGAGUGCAGAAGGGGCAACUGGAAUUCUCGGUGUAGCGGUGAAAUGCGUAGAUAUCGAGAGGAACGCCUGCAGCGAAGGCGGGUUGCUGGGCUGACACUGACGCUGAGGCGCGAAAGCUAGGGGAGCGAACGGGAUUAGAUACCCCGGUAGUCCUAGCCUUAAACGAUGAAUGCUUGGUGUCUGGGGUUUUAUAGUCCCCGGGUGCCGUCGCUAACGCUUUAAGCAUUCCGCCUGGGGAGUACGGUCGCAAGACUG